AUUGAACGCUGGCGGCAGGCCUAACACAUGCAAGUCGAACGAGUGGCGGACGGGUGAGUAAUGUCUGGGAAACUGCCUGAUGGAGGGGGAUAACUACUGGAAACGGUAGCUAAUACCGCAUACCUCCGAUUGUGCCCAGAGGGGAUUAGCUGGUUGGUGGGGUAACGGCGCACAAAGGCGACGCUCCCUAGCUGGUCUGAGAGGAUGACCAGCCACACUGGAACUGAGACACGGUCCAGACUCCUACGGUAGGCAGCAGUGGGGAAUAUUGCACAAUGGGCGCAAGCCUGAUGCAGCCAUGCCGCGUGUAUGAAGAAGGCCUUCGGGUUGUAAAGUACUUUCAGCGGGGAGGCGUUACCCGCAGAAGAAGCACCGGCUAACUCCGUGCCAGCAGCCGCGGUAAUAC
rnacentral:rRNA from 1 species